rnacentral:rRNA from 1 species
AAUAGAUACCCAGGUAGUCCACGCCCUAAACGAUGUCUACUAGUUGUUGGUGGAGUAAAAUCCAUUAGUAACGCAGCUAACGCGUGAAGUAGACCGCCUGGGGAGUACGGUCGCAAGAUUAAAACUCAAAGGAAUUGACGGGGGCCCGCACAAGCGGUGGAUUAUGUGGAUUAAUUCGAUGCAACGCGAAAAACCUUACCUGGCCUUGACAUGCCACUAACGAAGCAGAGAUGCAUUAGGUGCCCGAAAGGGAAAGUGGACACAGGUGCUGCAUGGCUGUCGUCAGCUCGUGUCGUGAGAUAUUGGGUUAAGUCCCGCAACGAGCGCAACCCUUGCCAAUAAUUGCCAUCAUUCAGUUGGGCACUUUAUUGGGACUGCCGGUGACAAACCGGAGGAAGUGGGGAUGACGUCAAGUCCUCAUGGCCCUUAUGGCCAGGGCUUCACACGUAAUCAAUGGUCGGUACAGAGGGUAGCCAAGCCGCGAGGUGGAGCCAAUCCCAGAAAGCCGAUCGUAGUCCGGGUUGCAGU